UCGGUGAGUAAAGCAAAUGUAGGAAUAAGUAACGAUAAGGAGGGUUAGAUUCCCUCCCGCUGUAAGACCAAGGUUUCCCGGGCAAUGCCAAUCAGCCCGGGGUCAGUCGGGUCCUAAGUCUAAGCCGAACGGCGAUGGCGAUGGCAGAGACGGUUAAUAUUCCGUCACUGCCGCAUGGGGCGACGUGGAGACGGAGCAGUGAAACCACCGCGGGGCGACGGAAGUCCCCGUUGAAGAGUGUAGGCGUUGAGGAUGGCAGGCAAAUCCACCGUCCGAGCUGAACUUGAUAGUAUGGAGUCUUCUUCGGAAGAAUCCAAUAGUGUGGGUAAUCAUACUCCCGAGAAAAUCCGCUAAGCUUAACCCAUGCGGCACCCGUACCGCAAACGGACACACGUGGUCGGGUAGAACAUACUGAGGCGUUGAGAGAUUCAUGGUUAAGGAACUAGGCAAAUUGACCCUGUAACUUCGGGAUAAAGGGUCCUCGUGAAGAGCGAGGCGCAGAGAAUAGGUCCAGGCAACUGUUUAACAAAAACACAGGGCUGUGCAAACUCGAAAGAUGACGUAUACAGCCUGACACCUGCCCGGUGCCGGAAGGUUAAGAGGAGAUGUCACACUUAUGUGGAAGCAUUGAAUUGAAGCCCCGGUAAACGGCGGCCGUAACCAUAACGGUCCUAAGGUAGCGAAAUUCCUUGUCGGGUAAGUUCCGACCUGCACGAAUGGUGUAAUGAUCCGGACGCUGUCUCAACCAUGAGCUCAGUGAAAUUGUAGUAUCGGUGAAGAUGCCGAUUACCCGCGAUGGGACGAAAAGACCCCGUGAACCUUUACUACAGCUUAGCAUUGACCUUGGUCAUCCGAUGUGUAGGAUAGGCCGGAGGCUUCGAAGCGGGAGCGCCAGCUUUCGUGGAGCCAUCCUUGAAAUACGGCCCUUUGGCUGUCUGAGGUCUAACGCGCGAUGCGCGGACACUGCUUGGUGGGUAGUUUGACUGGGGUGGUCGCCUCCAAAAGCGUAACGGAGGCUUCCAAAGGUGCCCUCGGGUCGAUUGGUAACCGACCUCAAAGAGUGCAAUGGCAUAAGGGCGCUUGACUGGGAGGCAGACAUGCCGAGCAGGCAGGAAACUGGGGCAUAGUGAUCCGGCGGAUGCGUAUGGAAACUCCGUCGCUCAAAGGAUAAAAGGUACUCCGGGGAUAACAGGCUGAUCCCCCCCAAGAGCUCAUAUCGACGGGGUGGUUUGGCACCUCGAUGUCGGCUCGUCACAUCCUGGGGCUGGAGAAGGUCCCAAGGGUUGGGCUGUUCGCCCAUUAAAGUGGCACGCGAACUGGGUUCAGAACGUCGUGAGACAGUUCGGUCUCUAUCUAUCGUGGGCGUGGGAGUUUUGCGUGGUGCCGUCACUAGUACGAGAGGACCGUGAUGGACAGACCUCCGGUUUACCAGUUGUGCCGCCAGGCGCACCGCUGGGUAUCUGAGUCUGGAUUGGAUAAGCGCUGAAAGCAUCUAAGUGCGAAGCCAGCCGCAAGAUGAGAACUCCAUUGAGGGUCGUCAGAGACGAUGACGUUGAUAGGAUGCAGGUGUAAAGACAGCGAUGUCAAAGCCGAGCAUUACUAAUUGCCC
rnacentral:rRNA from 1 species